UACGAAGGGGGGCUAGCGUUGCUCGGAAUUACUGGGCGUAAAGCGCACGUAGGCGGCUUGUUAAGUCAGGGGUGAAAUCCUGGAGCUCAACUCCAGAACUGCCUUUGAUACUGGCGAGCUUGAGUUCGGGAGAGGUGAGUGGAACUGCGAGUGUAGAGGUGAAAUUCGUAGAUAUUCGCAAGAACACCAGUGGCGAAGGCGGCUCACUGGCCCGAUACUGACGCUGAGGUGCGAAAGCGUGGGGAGCAAACAGG
rnacentral:rRNA from 1 species